AUGGGAACGCGAAGAACCUUACCUAGACUUGACAUCUCCUGAAUAGUGUAGAGAUACAUGAAGCCCUUCGGGGCAGGAAGACAGGUGGUGCAUGGUUGUCGUCAGCUCGUGUCGUGAGAUGUUGGGUUAAGUCCCGCAACGAGCGCAACCCUUAUUACUAGUUGCUACCAUUUAGUUGAGCACUCUAGUGAGACUGCCCGGGUUAACCGGGAGGAAGGCGGGGAUGACGUCAAAUCAUCAUGCCCCUUAUGUCUAGGGCUACACACGUGCUACAAUGGUGAGAACAACGAGAUGCAAUACCGCGAGGUGGAGCAAAACUUCAAAACUCAUCUCAGUUCGGAUUGUAGGCUGAAACUCGCCUACAUGAAGUUGGAGUUGCUAGUAAUCGCGAAUCAGAAUGUCGCGGUGAAUACGUUCCCGGGUCUUGUACACACCG
rnacentral:rRNA from 1 species